rnacentral:rRNA from 1 species
GUAGGUGGCAAGCGUUGUCCGGAAUUAUUGGGGCGUAAAGCGCGCGCAGGCGGUUCGUUUAAGUCUGAUGUGAAAGCCCACGGGCUCAACCGUGGAGGGUCAUUGGAAACUGGAGAACUUGAGUACAGAAGAGGAAAGCGGAAUUCCACGUGCAGCGGUGAAAUGCGUAGAGAUGUGGAGGAACACCAGUGGCGAAGGCGGCUUUCUGGUCUGUAACUGACGCUGAGGCGCGAAAGCGUGGGGAGCAAACAGGAUUAGAUACCCUGGUAGUCCACGCCGUAAACGAUGAGUGCUAAGUGUUACGGGGGGGUUCCGCCCCUUAGUGCUGCAGCUAACGCAUUAAGCACUCCGCCUGGGGAGUACGGCCGCAAAGGCUG